AGAGCUGCUCGGGAUAUCCUUCUGUUCGUAGUGCGAGUGUACUUACUUUUUUUUUUUUUUUUUUUUUUUUUUUUUUUUUUUUUUGAGACGGAGUCUCGCUCUGUCGCCCAGGCUGGAGUGCAGUGGCACGAUCUCAGCUCACUGCAAGCUCCGCCUCCCGGGUUCACACCAUUCUCCUGCCUCAGCCUCCCGGGUGGCUGGGACUACAGGCGCCCGCCACCACGCCCGGCUAAUUUUUUUUUAUAUUUUUAGUAGAGAUGGGGUUUCACUGUGGCCUCCAUCUCCUGACCUCGUGAUCCGCCCACCUCGGCCUCCCGAAGUGCUGGAUUACAAGCGUGAGCCACUGCGCCCAGCCGCGAGUGUACUUAUUAUUACUAGUUUUCACUUACCUAAUUUUUACAGGAGCGGCCCUUGCCUAGGUCUCUACUCUCUCCUACCAUUCUUCCUGUCCAAUAAUUCUGCUCGUUUUGCUCCUUAAAACAGUGAAAUUUUGCUCAGAUUGAGAAAGUAAAAGUUGGCCUUCCCCAACAUCCACGGAUGAAUGCUAAAAUUAGUAGGCAGAACUUGAAGCCGAAACAGGAUAUAUGCAAAGUUUCAAAACAUCUCUACUAAAAUGUUUAGUAAUUAGGCCGGGCACGGUGACUCACGCCUGUAAUUCCAGCGCUUUAGGAGGCCGAGGCGGGUGGAUCACCUGAGGUCAGGAGUUCGAGACCAGCCUGGCCAACAUGGUGAAACCCCGUCUAUACUAAAGAUACAAAAAAUUAGCCGGGCGUGGUGGCAGGCGCCUGUAAUUCCAGCUACUUGGGGUGGCUGAGGCAGGAGAAUCGCUUGAACCU
rnacentral:lncRNA from 1 species